AAGUAAAAGUCGUAACAAGGUUUCCGUAGGUGAACCUGCGGAAGGAUCAUUAUUGAAAUUAUAGGCAAAGGUUGUAGCUGGCCUCUCGGGGCAUGUGCACGCCUGAGCCCUUUAAUCCACACACACCUGUGAACCAAUUGUAAGGGCCCCCUGAAAAGGGCCUUUACGUCUUAUUCAUCAACCCAUUGCAUGUCUCAGAAUGUAAACAUAUGUCCUCGCCUUAAAAAAGCGUUGAUAAACUUAUACAACUUUCAACAACGGAUCUCUUGGCUCUCGCAUCGAUGAAGAACGCAGCGAAAUGCGAUAAGUAAUGUGAAUUGCAGAUUUUCAGUGAAUCAUCGAAUCUUUGAACGCACCUUGCGCUCCUUGGUAUUCCGAGGAGCAUGCCUGUUUGAGUGUCAUUAAAUUCUCAACUCCGAUCGAUUUGUUUCGACCUCGGAGCUUGGACUUUGGAGCGUGCUGGCGUCGGUCGGCUCCUCUCAAAUGCAUCAGCGGAAUCUAACGUUUCGGACGUCAGUGUGAUAAUCACGUUGCGCUGUCGACCGAUCCUGAAAGCCCGCUCAUAAUGGUCUUCGGACAACUCCAUAUCAAAUUUGACCUCAAAU
rnacentral:rRNA from 1 species